GCGAAUGACCUGACUCUUUAUAUUUGAAUAUCACGUUUUACCAUGUUACACAUAGUAAAAUGUGAUGUUCAUGUAUAGGGAGUCUGGUCAUACGU